UUCUCAUGCCGCUGCUGCCCAGCGCUUAGACCUUUUCAUUAUGGGUCACCCUAGCAAGAGUAGCUCGUAAUGGCACAGCUCUAAGCUUCAUUGGCCUACACAAAGUCUCCUGCAGAGCUGGAGUCGUCAUUAGUAUUUACACCUACUGGAGCAGAACACAGUGUGAUGCCUCAAAGAACAUUCGGCUGACGUUUACAAUCAAAAGCAGCAUUCCCUUUGAACUCCAUUGAAAUCUGGGCUUCUGGUCUCCGAGAAUCUUCCAAGUUUUAAGCAUAGAGUGUUUCAAAAGUGUGAGGCCCUCAAGCCAAGAUUCCCAGAUCAAGCCUAUCAGGUUGACAGAGGAUAAUUGUUACGGGGUAGAAAUGCCAUCACACUUCAUCUGAGAAGCUCCACACAGCCCUCCCAGAAAGAGCCAGGACUUGAGAGUCAGAAGACCCAGAUUCUAGUCACGGCUCCCCUGCUUGCCUGCUUCGUGAC